UUUUAUUUCCUAAUUUCUUCAAAUUCUUUUUCUUGGAGAUAUUAGGUUGUUGUUGAUCUUUAUGCCUCCAAGCUCACCAAGGUUUGAAUGGUAUUUCGGGACUUCCUGGAUUAAGAUCUUGUGGGUGCUAGUCUUGUUAGGUGGCAUUGUUAAGUGUGGAAGCGCACAUGCCGGUGAUGAUGGGUGAUCCCAGCUAUGUGUAGUGUGGGAGUGCACACGAGCUGAUGACUAGUGGAUGAUGAUUCCAACUAUGUGUGGUGUGGGAGUGCACAUAAGCUGAUGACCGGUGGAUGAUAAAUCCAGCUAUGUGCUAUGUGGGAGUGCACAUGAGCUGAUGACCGGUGGAUGAUGAUUCCAACUAUGUGCAGUGUGGGAGUGCA